AGCUCUCGCAUCGAUGAAGAAUGCAGCAAAAUGCGAUACUUUGUGUGAAUUGCAAAAUCCCGUGAAUCAUCAAGUUUUUGAACGCAAGUUAUGCCUGAAGUCUUUCGGCCGAGGGCACGCCAGCCUGGGUGUCACGGAAUCGAGAGCUCCAAGUGGGCCAUUUUUGGUAAGAAGAACUGGUGAUGUGGGAUGAACUGGAAGCCGGGUUAUUGUGCCCAACUGCAUGCUAACCUAGAACCCACAAAGGGUGUUGGUCGAUUAAGACAGUAGGACGGUGGUCAUGGAAGUCGAAAUCCGCUAAGGAAUGUGCAACAACUCACCUUCUGAAUCAACUAGCCCAAAAAUGGAUGGCACUUAAGCGCGUGACCUAUACCCGGCGGUCAGGGCAAGAGCCAGGCCCCAAUGAAUAGGAGGGCGUGGCGAUCGCUACAAAACCUAAGGCGUGAGCCCGGGUAGAGCGACUGUCGAUGCAAAUCUUAGUGGUAGUAGCAAAUAUUCAAAUGAGAACUUUGAAGGGCAAAGAGGGGAAAGGUUCCAUGUGAACGGCACUUAGACAUGGGUUAGUCGAUCCUAAGAGACGGGGGAAGCCCGUCCGACAGCGCGUCCGCACGCGAACUUUGAAAGGGAAUCGGGUUAAAAUUCCCGAACCGGGACGUGGCGGCGGAUGGCAACGUCAGAGAGUCUGGAGACGUUGGCUGGGGCCUCGGGAAGAGUUAUCUUUUCUAUUUAAAAGCUCACCCACCCUGGAAACGACUCAGUCUGAGGUAGAGUCCAGCGGCUGGAAGAGCACCGCACAUCACGCGGUAUCCAGUGCGCCUCCGGCGGCCCAUGAAAAUCUGAAGGACCGAGUGCCAUCCACACCCGGUCGUACUCAUAACUACAUCAGGUGUCCAAGGUGAACAGCCUUUGGUCAAUGGAACAAUGUAGGCACAGGAAGUCGGUAAAAUGGAUCCGGGGGCCCCAGUCCCGAACCCGUCAGCUGUCGGCGGACUGCUCGAGCUGCUCCAGUGGCGAGUGCGAGUCGCCGCGUGUUAGCCGGGGGACAGACUAGGAACAGCCUCUUCGGGGGCCUUCCCCGAGUGUCAAACAGUCGACUCAGAACUGGUACGGACAAGGGGAAUCCGACUGUUUAAUUAAAACAAAGCAUUACGAUGGUCCCUACGGAUGCUCACGUAAUGUGAUUUUUGCCUAGUGCUCUAAAUGUCAAAGUGAAGAAAUUCAACCAAACGUGGGUAAACGGCAGGAGUAACUAUGACUAUCUUAAGGUAGCCAAAUGCCUCGUCAUCUAAUUAGUGACGCACAUGAAUGGAUUAAUGAGAUUCCCAGUGUCCUUGUCUACUAUCCAGCAAAACCAAAGCUAAGGGAACAGGCUUGGCGGAAUCAACAGGGAAAGUAGACCCUGUUGAGCUUGACUCUAGUCCUACUUUGUGAAAUGACUUGAGAGGUGUAGGAUAAGUGGGAGCCUUAACCGGCAACAGUGAAAUACCACUACUUUUAACGUUAUUUUACUUAUUCCGUGAAUCAGAAGCGGGGCUAUGCCCCUCCUUUUGGACCUAAGGUCGCUUUGCCAGCCGAUCCAAGCAGAAGACAUUGUCAAGUGAGGUGUUUGGCUGGGGCAGCACAUCUGUUAAAAGAUAACGCAGGUGUCCUAAGAUGCGCUCAACGAGAACAGAGAUCUCGUGUGGAACAAAAGGGUAAAAGCUCAUUUGAUUCUGAUUUCCAGUACGAAUACGAACCAUGAAAGCGUGGCCUAUCGAUCCUUUAGACCUUCGGAAUUUAAAGCUAGAGGUGUUAGAAAAGUUACCACAGGGAUAACUGGCUUGUGGCAGCCAAUCGUUUAUAGCGACGUUGCUUUUUGAUCCUUCGAUGUCGGCUCUUCCUAUCAUUGUGAAGCAGAAUUCACCAAGUGUUGGAUUAUUCACCCACCAAUCGGGAACGUGAGCUGGGUUUCGACCGUCGUGAGAUAGGUUAGUUUUACCCUACUGAUGAUUGUGUCGCAAUGGUAACUCAACGUAGUACGAGAGGAACCAUUGAUUCGCACAAUUGGUCAUCGUGCUUGGUUGGAAAGCCAGUGGCGUGAAGCUGCCGUCCGCUGGAUUAUGACUGAACGCCUCUAAGUCAGAAUCCGGGCCAGAAGCGACGCGUUGUCCGUCGCUUACCGACCAGUAGUAGGGGCCCUACGGCCCUCAAAGGCACGUGUUGUUGGCUAAGCCCUCGCAGCAAACGAGCCGCGCGGGCCGCCUUGAAUUACAAUUUCCACCGGGCGACGGACUGAAUCCUUUACAAACGACUUAAAUACGCGACGGGGUAUUAUAAGUGGCAGAGUGGCCUUGCUGCCACGAUCCACUGAGAUUCAGCCCUUCAUCGCUCCGAUUCGUCCCUCCCCUCCUCCCCACACGCAAAAUCAAAACCAAUUUAUUCUUAAAAAAAGGGCCCUGAGGUUCCACUCUCUAAGGUCCGAAAAUCCUCCAAGUCCCAAAAUCCUAAGUAAUUCCACAAACUCAGUGGACUUGAGAACACAUUUAAAUUCUAGCCAGUACUACAUGCAAGUCCCCCACACUAUGCCGCACGGGGGCCAAGUCCCAAAAUCCUAAGUAAUUCUACAAACUCAGUGAACUUGAGCACACAUCCAAGUUCUAUUCUAGCCAGUGCUGUAUGCAAGUCCCCCACACUAUGGAUGCUUAAAAAAUCAAUUAAUUAUUUCAAAGUUGUUGAGUAAAUUAGAUAGAAAAAGAGAUGGGAGGUGAUGAUUAUUUCCCCAAAUGAUCGAAGCUGAAUAUAUUGAGCGAUUUUUCUCUCAAUAUAUUUUAGGAGUCCAAGCCAGAUUUCUGAUCCUUCUCUAUUUCUGUUUUGUCAUACUAAAAUUAUUUAUUUAAAGUUUUUCUUUAUUGAGUUAAAGAGAAAAUGGGUUUUUAAAUUGAAAUUCUAUCAUAUGAUAGAGAAAUAAUUAAUUAGUUGGUAUCACUUAGAAUGGGAUGGGAUGGAAGUGAUGAUUAUUUCCUCAUAUGAUCGACGCUGAACAAACUGAGCGUUUUUAUUUCUCUUUUUCUUUAUUAAAAGAGAAUUCAAGCCAGGAAACUGAUCCAUCUCUCAUUCUAAUUAAAUUGUGUUUAAUUCAGUAGUAUUUGCUAUCAGUGGAUUUAUCAUUGGUUUAUGAUAAAUUAUUGGAUUAGCCAGUUCCUCUUGAGCUUAAAUCUGUUUUGGGUCUUUGGUUCUAAAGAAAUUUGAACUCUAGGGAACCUGUUCCUUUGAAAAUUUCUCGAGGAACCGCAUUAUAGGAUUGGAGAAUACUUUGAAAAUUUCUCGAGGAACCACAUCACAGCCCAAAAAAUCAUUCGAACUAAGAAUCACGUGCAAUGUCAUAGGGGUGUGCUCCAAGCCAAAAAGUGCAUAAUUUUGACUAUAUUCGGCAUAAACGUCCCUAAGCGAGCAACUUUGCUUCGAAACUUUCCUUCGCCCAUACUGCAUCGCCGAAAAAUCUUGACGGACCCGUUCUGCGUCGUUGAUAAAUCCUGACGGGCUCACUGCCGAGGGCAUCGCACGCCCGCCAGCCACCACUGGCGAGCUAGCUCGCAUGCAUAGGCUCGUUGGCAUAAAUCCUCGCCUGCCAGUCCACCAUUGCCGAGCAGUGCGCCCAUCAGGCCUGUUGGUGAGAAUCCUCGCACUCCAGGCAGCCACUGCUAGCGACACAGCGCACCAAUCGGUCCAGUUGGCGAGGAAUCCUAGCAUGCCAGUCCCCCAUUGCCGAGGCAGCGCACCCAUCGGGCCUAUUGGCGAGAAUCCUCGCAUGCCAGCCAGCAUGCCCGUCUGGCCAGUUGGUGAGGAAUCCUUGCGUGCCAGCCCCCUAUUGCAGAGGCAGCGUGCCCAUCGGGCUCGUUAGCGAGAAUAUUUACAAGCGCGGGCCCGUUGGUAGCGCAUCCUCGUAGCCUAGCACUCGCGUUGGCCAGCAUCCUCGCAGCCUAGCGCUCGCGUUGGCCAGCAUCCUCAUAUUGACAAAUAUACCACUCUUACGGGGUUGU
rnacentral:ncRNA from 1 species